CCUACGGGAGGCAGCAGUGGGGAAUAUUGGACAAUGGGGGGAACCCUGAUCCAGCGACGCCGCGUGAGUGAAGAAGUAUUUCGGUAUGUAAAGCUCUAUCAGCAGGGAAGAAAGAAAUGACGGUACCUGACUAAGAAGCCCCGGCUAACUACGUGCCAGCAGCCGCGGUACUACGUAGGGGGCAAGCGUUAUCCGGAUUUACUGGGUGUAAAGGGAGCGUAGACGGCGAUGCAAGUCUGAAGUGAAAGGCGGGGGCCCAACCCCUGGACUGCUUUGGAAACUGUAGGGCUUGAGUGCAGGAGAGGUAAGUGGAAUUCCAAGUGUAGCGGUGGAAUGCGUAGAUAUUAGGAGGAACACCAGUGGCGAAGGCGGCUUACUGGACUGUAACUGACGUUGAGGCUCGAAAGCGUGGGGAGCAAACAGGAUUAGAUACCCUAGUAGUC
rnacentral:rRNA from 1 species